rnacentral:misc_RNA from 1 species
AUAUUAAUUAAAAUUCACUACCUAUUUCUCAAUAGCAAUAGCAAAUAAUUUUUAUUUUUCAAAUAACAAUUAAUUCAUUGAAUCCUAUGAUCAUUCAAUAAAAAUUCCUAUAAACCAAGUCUUGUGCUUCCUCAAUUGCGCUCAAACUAUUAUUCCCAUGUAAUUUGUUGCCUAAUUCUCGUUUAGUAAUCUUCUCACCAAUGAGGAUGAAUGAAUAACAUCAAUUGAAUAAUAAAUAUUAAAAAGCAUUAAACUCCAUAAUAAACUAUUACAUUGAUAACCAAAAUCACACAAAAUAAAUUAAAUUAAAUUAAUUUCAAGCUACGUCAAAAUCUCCAAAAUUGAGAACUAACAUCAAAGUCUUAAGACAGAAAGAAAAACUAAAAUACAGAUUUAGCACAAAC